rnacentral:rRNA from 1 species
GACGAACGCUGGCGGCGUGCUUAACACAUGCAAGUCGAACGGAAAGGCCCUGCUCUUGUGGGGUGCUCGAGUGGCGAACGGGGGAGUAACACGUGUGUAACCUGCCCUUGUCUUUGGGAUAACUUCAGGAAACUGGGGCUAAUACCGGAUAGGAGCUCCUGCUGCACGGUGGGGGUUGGAAAGUUUCGGCGGUUGGGGAUGGUCUCGCGGCUUAUCAGCUUGUUGGUGAGGUAGUGGCUUACCAAGGCUUUGACGGGUAGCCGGCCUGGGAGGGUGACCGGCCACAAUGGGACUGCGGUACGCCGCAGAAUCCUACGGGAGGCAGCAGGGGGGAAUAUUGCAGAAUGGGCGGAAGCCUGAUGCGGCAACGCCGCGUGCGGGAUGACGGCCUUCGAGUUGUAAACCGCUUUCGCCGGUGACGAAGCGUGAGUGACGGUAAUGGGUAAAGAAGCACCGGCUAACUACGUG